UACGUAGGGGGCAAGCGUUGUCCGGAUUUAUUGGGCGUAAAGAGCGUGUAGGCGGCCGUACAGGUCAGCUGUGAAAACUCGAGGCUCAACCUCGAGACGUCGGUUGAAACCGUACGGCUAGAGUCCGGAAGAGGAGAGUGGAAUUCCCGGUGUAGCGGUGAAAUGCGCAGAUAUCGGAAGGAACGCCGGUGGCGAAAGCGGCGUGCUGGACCUCUUCUGACGCUGAGGCGCGAAAGCCAGGGGAGCAAACGGG
rnacentral:rRNA from 1 species